GGUGGUGACCUUGUCCUUUGGAAAGAGUACCAGUCACACCACCUUACUGCCUCUGAGUGGAUACCAGGCUCUAGGUCAAACAUCUGCAGAAUUGUCUCUUUAUUCCUGCCCUCUGUCCUGGGCAGCCACCUGUCCUAAAGCCACUUAGCGGUUUGUGAGCCGGAGCAGAGGCUGUCCUACUCCUGCUCUGUGAGCCAAGUGCGGUUGAGCGAGCACAGAGCUGCCCUGAGUCUGAGUCAUCCAUCCUGGUGAACGUCCCCUCGCUCAAGGCCCAUCUGCAGCCAGUGGGGCCUCCAGGAUGGCCCUUCUGAUGUCACUUCCUGCUGAGGCAGCUCUUGGACUCUGGACGGUGGCACAGUGAAGUCGCCUCCUACCCAGAAAGCCGCCCCUGGCCUCCCUGACCCAGCAGUCACCCCACUUUGCUCCUUGCACCAGGAGUAAUUCCUUUUCCUUGUCUUCAUUGAGGACUCCUCUGUGGCCAGCAGGGUGAGCGACGUGGGUGUAGACUCGGUUCUCUGCGGGCGGAUGGAUAAUCGGUGUUCGGAUGCCUUUUCGCGGCGGAUGGUUUUGGUUUCUUUGUUGAAGGGGAUGACAGAGGCUCCGAGAGGCCAGGCUGCUUGUCUGAGGUCACCGCGCA
rnacentral:lncRNA from 1 species